GCAGCCACUCAUUCAAAGAGUGCGUAAUAGCUCACUGGUCAAGUGACUUUGCGCCGAAGAUUUAACGGGGCUAAAAUCUACACCGAAGCUUAGGCUGGUAAGCGAUUAAUAAUGGACAGUAUUUCUUGUAUUGUUUGUUGUUAAUUGCUUACCGGGGUAGGAGAGCGUUCUGUGCGGGGUGAAGUCACAACGUAAGUGGUGGUGGACUGCACUGAAGUGAGAAUGCCGGAAUGAGUAGCGAGAAAUAUGUGAGAAUCAUAUUGGCCGAAAAUCUAAGGUUUUUGGGGGAAGGUUCGUCCGCCCCAAGUAAGUCGGGAGCUAAGGCGAGGCCGAAAGGCGUAGUCGAUGCACAUACGGUUGAUAUUCCGUAACCACUAUUUGAUUUAAGUAAAAUGACACCUUGAAAGGAUGUGACCCGGGCGUUGGUUGACUCGGGCGUAAGGGACCGAAAUUUAGUAGGGAAGCACAUUUAGACGAGGGCUAGAAAAGUUUUAUGUAUAUCUUUAGUGCCCGUACCGCAAACCGACACAGGUAGAUAGGAUGAGGAUUCUAAGGCCAACGGGAGAAGGGUAUUUAAGGAACUCGGCAAAAUGACUCCGUAACUUCGGAAUAAGGAGUGCCUAGUGUAUGCUAGGCCGCAGUGAAUAGGCCCAGGCGACUGUUUAUCAAAAACACAGGUCUCUGCUAAGUCGUAAGACGAUGUAUAGGGGCUGACACCUGCCCGGUGCUGGAAGGUUAAGAGGAGAUGUGAAAGCAUUGAAUUGAAGCCCCAGUAAACGGCGGCCGUAACUAUAACGGUCCUAAGGUAGCGAAAUUCCUUGUCGGGUAAGUUCCGACCCGCACGAAUGGUGUAACGAUCUGGGCGCUGUCUCAAAUACCCACCCGGCGAAAUUGUAGUACCGGUGAAGAUGCCGGUUACCUGCGGCAAGACGGAAAGACCCCAUGGAGCUUUACUGUAGCUUGAUAUUGGGUUUCGGUGAUUUAUGUACAGGAUAGGUGGGAGACUGCGAAUCCGGGGCGUUAGCUUCGGUGGAGUCACCCUUGGGAUACCACCCUUAAAUCAUUGGAAUUCUAACCUGCGGCCAUUAUCUGGCCGGGGGACAUUGUCUGGUGGGCAGUUUGACUGGGGCGGUCGCCUCCUAAAAUGUAACGGAGGCGCUCAAUGGUUAGCUCAGCACGGUCGGAAAUCGUGCUUUUGAGUGCAAACGCAUAAGCUAGCCUAACUGCGAGGAUGACGGU
rnacentral:rRNA from 1 species